UACGGAGGGGGCUAGCGUUGUUCGGAAUUACUGGGCGUAAAGCGAGUGUAGGCGGUUUGGAAAGUCGGAUGUGAAAGCCCCGGGCUCAACCCGGGAAGUGCACUCGAUACUCCCAAGCUAGAGUAUCGGAGAGGUUGGCGGAAUUCUCGGUGUAGAGGUGAAAUUCGUAGAUAUCGAGAGGAACACCGGCGGCGAAGGCAGUCUCCUGGCAAGUUUCUGACGCUCAGGUGCGAAAGCUAGGGGAGCGAACAGG
rnacentral:rRNA from 1 species